GACCAUUUUCUGACACCNGAGGCACGAAAGCGUGGGGAGCGAACCGGAUUAGAUACCCGGGUAGUCCACGCCGUAAACGAUGGAUACUAGCUGUUGGGGGUAUCGACCCCCCCAGUAGCGAAGCUAACGCGUUAAGUAUCCCGCCUGUGGAGUACGGUCGCAAGACUAAAACAUAAAGGAAUUGACGGGGACCCGCACAAGCGGUGGAUUGUGUUCUUUAAUUCGAUGAUAAACGGAGAACCUUACCAGGGUUUGACAUCCCGAGAAUUUUGCCGAAAGGCGAGAGUGCUUUAUUGAACUCGGUGACAGGUGAUGCAUGGCCGUCGUCAGCUCGUGUCGUGAGAUGUUUGGUUAAGUCCAUCAACGAGCGCAACCCUUGUGAUUAGUUGUAUUUUUCUAAUCAGACUGCCCCGGUAACGGGGAGGAAGGAGGGGAUGAUGUCAGGUCAGUAUUUCCCUUACAUCCUGGGCUAGAAACGCAAUACAAUGGCCAGUACAAUGUGCAGCGAAGCCGCGAGGUGAAGCAAAUCACAUCAAAACUGGUCCCAGUUCAGAUAAGAGGCUGAAACUCGCCUCUUUGAAGUCGGAAUCGCUAGUAAUCGCGGAUCAGCAAGCUGCGGUGAAUACGUUCCCGGGUCUUGUACACACCGCCCGU
rnacentral:rRNA from 1 species